rnacentral:lncRNA from 1 species
AUGCAAUAUCAGUAUAUUACACUAGGACAGUUCUUUGUUUUUGCUGAAGUUUGCCGUUUCUUCUUGUUACUGAUGUGCUGCUUCCUUUGUGCUGACUGCCAAGAAAAUUUUGGACUGCUGCCCUAUUUUCCUCUGGAGGCUGAUGUAGUCUUCAAAGUAAAUCGAUUCUGGAUGUCUCUACCCCUUCUCCAGUCCCCCAAUUGAAUAUCCUUGUAAUAAAGAAAAGAGAAGCUACA